rnacentral:tRNA from 1 species
UAAUUAAGCUGCUAACUUAAUUUUUAGUGAAUAAAUUCAUUAAUAUUUCU